rnacentral:rRNA from 1 species
UACGGAGGGUGCAAGCGUUAUCCGGAUUCACUGGGUUUAAAGGGUGCGUAGGUGGGCAGGUAAGUCCGUGGUGAAAUCUCUGAGCUUAACCCAGAAACUGCCGUGGAUACUAUUUGUCUUGAAUAUUGUGGAGGUGAGCGGAAUAUGUCAUGUAGCGGUGAAAUGCUUAGAUAUGACAUAGAACACCAAUUGCGAAGGCAGCUCACUACACAAUUAUUGACGCUGAGGCACGAAAGCGUGGGGAUCAAACAGG